rnacentral:sRNA from 1 species
CCGUUUCUACCUGCUGCGGGGAAAUAAAGUGAAUGUGGGUAUCUAUCCCACCGGGUGUUACAAUCAUCCCUUCCCCGGCAAUAACUUCCGUAGCAGCCCCCACAACCAUACCGGGGUCAACCCCGUCCAUCAGGUUAGGGUUCCCAGCCUUGCCUAUACCGACAAUUCUUCCGUCACGGAUACCGAUAUCGGCCUUAACAAUACCCCAGUGGUCGAGGAUCAGUGCAUUAGUGAUGACCAGGUCCAAAACCCCCUCUUCCCUGGUAGCGUUCGGGGACUGACCCAUCCCGUCCCGCAG